rnacentral:rRNA from 1 species
AUUGAACGCUGGCGGCAUGCCUUACACAUGCAAGUCGAACGGCAGCACGGGAGCUUGCUCCUGGUGGCGAGUGGCGAACGGGUGAGUAAUACAUCGGAACGUACCCUGAAGUGGGGGAUAACGUAGCGAAAGUUACGCUAAUACCGCAUAUUCUGUGAGCAGGAAAGAGGGGGAUCGCAAGACCUCUUGCUUUAGGAGCGGCCGAUGUCGGAUUAGCUAGUUGGUGAGGUAAAGGCUCACCAAGGCGACGAUCCGUAGCGGGUCUGAGAGGAUGAUCCGCCACACUGGGACUGAGACACGGCCCUGACUCCUACGGGAGGCAGCAGUGGGGAAUUUUGGACAAUGGGCGCAAGCCUGAUCCAGCCAUGCCGCGUGAGUGAAGAAGGCCUC